rnacentral:rRNA from 1 species
AGUGAACGCUGGCGGUAGGCCUAACACAUGCAAGUCGAACGGCAGCACAGUAAGAGCUUGCUCUUACGGGUGGCGAGUGGCGGACGGGUGAGGAAUACAUCGGAAUCUACUUUUUCGUGGGGGAUAACGUAGGGAAACUUACGCUAAUACCGCAUACGACCUACGGGUGAGAGCAGGGGAUCUUCGGACCUUGCGCGAUUGAAUGGGCCGAUGUCGGAUUAGCUAGUUGGCGGGGUAAAGGCCCACCAAGGCGACGAUCCGUAGCUGGUCUGAGAGGAUGAUCAGCCACACUGGAACUGAGACACGGUCCAGACUCCUACGGGAGGCAGCAGUGGGGAAUAUUGGACAAUGGGCGCAAGCCUGAUCCAGCCAUACCGCGUGGGUGAAGAAGGCCUUCGGGUUGUAAAGCCCUUUUGUUGGGAAAGAAAAGCAGCAGGUUAAUACCCCGCUGUUCUGACGGUACCCAAAGAAUAAGCACCGGCUAACUUCGUG